GACGAGCGCUGGCAGCGUGCCUAACACAUGCAAGUCGAACGGGGUGAUUUCCUUCGGGGAAUCACUUAGUGGCGAACGGGUGAGUAACGCGUGAGAAACCUGCCUUUCAGUGGGGGACAACAGUUGGAAACGACUGCUAAUACCGCAUAACGUAUUUUAGGGCAUCCUUUAAAUACCAAAGCUUUAUGUGCUGAAAGAUGGCCUCGCGUCUGAUUAGCUAGAUGGCGGGGUAACGGCCCACCAUGGCGACGAUCAGUGGCCGGUCUGAGAGGAUGAACGGCCACAUUGGGACUGAGAUACGGCCCAG
rnacentral:rRNA from 1 species